UACGGGGGGAGCAAGCGUUGUUCGGAUUUACUGGGCGUAAAGGGCGCGUAGGCGGCCAGCGCAAGUCAGUUGUGAAAUCUCCGGGCUUAACUCGGAAAGGUCAACUGAUACUGCGCGGCUAGAGUGCGGAAGGGGCAACUGGAAUUCUUGGUGUAGCGGUGAAAUGCGUAGAUAUCAAGAGGAACACCUGCGGCGAAGGCGGGUUGCUGGGGCGACACUGACGCUGAGG
rnacentral:rRNA from 1 species